rnacentral:rRNA from 1 species
UUUUUAAUUGGAAUCUUGUAUGAAUGAUUGGACAAGAGAAGUACUGUCUUUGUAUUGAAACUUGAAUUUAACUUUUAAGUGAAAAGGCUUAAAUAUACUAAAGGGACGAUAAGACCCUAUAAAACUUUACAUUUAUGUUAAAUUUUAUGGAAUUUGAAAUUAUAAUUAUUAAGUUUAAUUUUUUGUUAUGUUGGGGAGACAAAAGCUAUAAUUAUGUAUAACUGCUUUUAAAGGAAACAAAAAUAAAUGGGAAAAUUAAAGAUCCUUUAUUGAGAUUGUAAGAUUAAGUUACUUUAGGGAUAACAGCGUUAUUUUUUUUGAGAGUUCAUAUUGAAAAAAAAGAUUGCGACCUCGAUGUUGAAUUAAAAUAUCUUUAUAAUGCAGGUGUUAUAAAAGAAGGUCUGUUCGACCUUUAAUUUU